rnacentral:rRNA from 1 species
UACGAAGGGGGCUAGCGUUGCUCGGAAUCACUGGGCGUAAAGGGUGCGUAGGCGGGUUUUUAAGUCAGGGGUGAAAUCCUGGAGCUUAACUCCAGAACUGCCUUUGAUACUGAAGAUCUUGAGUCCGGGAGAGGUGAGUGGAACUGCGAGUGUAGAGGUGAAAUUCGUAGAUAUUCGCAAGAACACCAGUGGCGAAGGCGGCUCACUGGCCCGGUACUGACGCUGAGGCACGAAAGCGUGGGGAGCAAACAGG